AAGUAGCUCUGCUUCGGGAGAGUGUUAUAGACCUUGGGUGAUGCAGCCUGUGGGAUCGAGGAUUGCAGCAAAUGCUUUUGGCUUGUCGCCUGAUCUUUGGACGUCACCUUGCUUGUAUCAACAUUCUUGGUACCGGUGAGUAAUGGUGCUUAUGGGUUAGAGCGAUCAAAAAUUUUGCUAAGGAUGCUGACGUAAUGGCUUUAAACGACCCGUCUUGAAACACGGCUGUCUCUUAUACACAUCUCCGAGCCCA
rnacentral:rRNA from 1 species